rnacentral:sRNA from 1 species
GCUGGGCGUGGUGGCGCAUGCCUGUAAUCCCAGUGGCUUUGGAGGCUGAGGCAGGAGGACCACUGGUUCAAAGCCAGCCUCAGCAAAAGUGAGGCACUAAGCAACUCAGUGAGACCCUGUCUCUA